UUGACCUCAGAUCAGGCGGGAC
rnacentral:rRNA from 3 species